rnacentral:rRNA from 1 species
UACGUAGGGCGCAAGCGUUGUCCGGAAUUAUUGGGCGUAAAGAGCUCGUAGGCGGCCUGUUGCGUCCGCUGUGAAAUCCCGGGGCUCAACCCCGGGCCUGCAGUGGAUACGGGCUGGCUAGAGGCAGGCAGGGGAGAACGGAAUUCCUGGUGUAGCGGUGAAAUGCGCAGAUAUCAGGAGGAACACCGGUGGCGAAGGCGGUUCUCUGGGCAGUAACUGACGCUGAGGAGCGAAAGCGUGGGGAGCGAACAGG